rnacentral:piRNA from 1 species
UGGGCCCUGUGAGGAGAGAACAAGAG